rfam:Myotis davidii contig171201, whole genome shotgun sequence.
GGUAGUUCCUGGGUGACACACUCCAGAAUCAGGCUCCCUCCUCUCUGGUUCUGGGUGCAUCACCUGAGAACUGCA